AUUGAACGCUGGCGGCAUGCCUUACACAUGCAAGUCGAACGGCAGCACGGGUGCUUGCACCUGGUGGCGAGUGGCGAACGGGUGAGUAAUACAUCGGAACAUGUCCCGUAGUGGGGGAUAGCCCGGCGAAAGCCGGAUUAAUACCGCAUACGAUCUACGGACGAAAGAGGGGGACCUUCGGGCCUCGCGCUAUAGGGUUGGCCGAUGGCUGAUUAGCUAGUUGGUGGGGUAAAGGCCUACCAAGGCGACGAUCAGUAGCUGGUCUGAGAGGACGACCAGCCACACUGGAACUGAGACACGGACCAGACUCCUACGGGAGGCAGCAGUGGGGAAUUUUGGGCAAUGGGCGAAAGCCUGAUCCAGCAAUGCCGCGUGUGUGAAGAAGGCCUUCGGGUUGUAAAGCACUUUUGUCCGGAAAGAAAUCCUUGGCCCUAAUACGGUCGGGGGAUGACGGUACCGGAAGAAUAAGCACCGGCUAACUACGUG
rnacentral:rRNA from 1 species